rnacentral:lncRNA from 1 species
GGCUCCCUUCCCAGCAUCUUUUUCCCGCUCUUCUUCCGACGAACGGAAGAAGGAAGCAAGUCUAGCAGCAGGAGACUGCGCAGGGGGAGUCUUCACGGGUGCCUCCUCUUCAUUAGCUUGGUCAUCACCGGCAGGAGGAGGGGAAUCAGCCCGGUAGGAAUUCUCAUGGGCACGACGCCUUAGGUGUCGGGCGUCAGAAGGCUUGGAGGCAGGUGCG